AAAAGUGUUGAGCCCAAAUAUUUGGCCCAAUCUCUCAUCCUCAAAACUCACGGCUGCCUCUUAUUCAGAAACACACGCGCACGCUCAUCUCUUGCUCUACUUUCGUUAACGGCGAGGCCGGCGUGGCCGCCACCAUCCAUGCCGGCGUCGCCCUGCCUUAGCCACUCUCCUCUAUUUCUCUUCUUAGCUGAACAUGCUCUCACUUCCUCAACCCCCAAUUUCAGGAAACACGCUUACAAGCUCAGCCGGUAUUCCUCCUCCGGUGAGGCCGACGGUCGCCACGGUCCUCACCAUGGUCGUGUCUCUGUUCCUCUAGAUCUCUCGCUGGUAUGCCCAGACGAAAAGAAAAAAAAAAGUCCAUUCCCCCCUUUUCAAAAUUCGUGAAACUCGCCGCGCCACCUCUGGCGUCGGAAACUCAGUGAGGCCGGCGUUCGGCGCCGUCCCUCUCUUUCUGGAAGCAAAGACGAAGCCGCCGCCUUAUUUCCCCCCUCUGCGAAAGCUGCCGCCGCGGCUGUUGCUCUCGAUUCGGUGAGGAGGGUCGUCACGCGUGGGCAGGGCCGGCCCUGGGGCGGGUGGGCCUGGGCGACGGCCCAAGGCCCCAAAAAUCUGAGGGCCCAAAAGUUUUAUUAUAUUUCAUUAGUAAUUAUAGGCCCAACUGCAAUAAAAAUAUUAACCUUGUUAAUUUUGGGCCCAGACUCUGUUAUCAAAUAAAUACCAAAUCCUUAAAUAUCUAAAAUCAAACAAUAAAUCUCAUAUGUUUCAAUGCCAGACGUAUUUCUAGGGAAAAAAAAAAAAACAUGCUUCGUCUUCUUCUUCAAGCCGUUGCAAACACCAAUUUCAUGGGGAAGAUAUUAAUCUCUUCAAUUUCUCAAUUUUUACUGUUGAAUCAGUCACAUAUGUAGUUGUAUAAAUAGAAUGAGGCGAAUUAAUUCUUCUCACCAAUUUACUCUUUGAUUAUUGUCCUUCUUGAGCAAAAAAAUUCACACUGCAAUUUACAGAUUGUCUUCGUUUGGAUUUGUGGGAAAAAUUGUUGAUGUGCCAUCAUUGUCUUCUGGAUUCUAAGCCCCAUUUUUGUCAGGACCGGCCCUGCGCGUGGGUUCGACAUUGCUGCCUCUCCGGAGUCGACGAGGCCAUCGUUCAACGUCUCCCCCUGGUUCGACGGAACAGGGUAGUCGCGUACAGAAAUCUAGGCUUAAAUUAUGGAAGAAGGUUGAAAUUCAAGAUAGGCUUACCUUGAAGUUUGGCAGAAUGAAUGAAUUCUCCUCUCUGAUUCUAGCGCACUAAGGGAGGAACAAGGGAUUGCUAGAUGAAUUGUAUAAAGAAGGAUGUUGGUGGCUUUGAUUGACUAUUCUUUGUACCUUAACAGUUGAAUAUUGCCAUAUUGGUAUAUUUUCUGGUCAGGUUAUAAAGUCAUGUUAUAAUUACGAUUAAAUUGAAAAUUGAUAUAUUUUCUGGUCAAAUUAUAAGGUCAUGUUAUAAA